rnacentral:lncRNA from 1 species
GUAUAAAAUGUUCUUAGGUGUUUCUUCUAUUUUCUUAGUUACCAACAACUCAAUAUAUAUCAAUAAUAACAUUUAAGCCGUAUUGGAUUUUUAUUGUCCCAAGACAAUACUAUAAAAUUAUCACAUUAUAAAAUUCAGUUAUAUGUUCGGGUUGUGAUUAUAAUUUCACAAAUAUGUUUACAAUACUGUUAAAUCUGGUGAAAAAUAUUUUUAUUACUAUAUAUGUAUAAAUUUGACAUAACAAGAGUUAUUUCUGUCAAGAUUAUAAUAACAUAUUUGAUUUUUAAAAUAUUAUAAAUUUUGUUUCUGUAUUAAUAUGGGAAGCCAGUUACUAAACACUAGGACAUGUGUAAGUCUUUGUAUAUUGAUCAAUCAAAGGACAUGUCUAGUGAUCGAUCAAUGGCUUGAUGCUUUCACAUCAAGUAUAUGUGAUUCGAUAAACACAGAUAUUUUUUUAGUGAUGAUAAAAUUAUAUAUUAAAUAUAGAUAUGUUGCUCAAAAAAAUAUAGAUAUAUAUGUUGUCGAUAAGGUGUAAUUAAAAUCAUCACUCCCCUCUUGAAUCCUUAUGUUGGCUAAAUAUAUAUAAGUUAUUAUGGAAUAUCUAUGAAAUCAUUUAUCGUUCGUAUGUUGCCUAUAUUAUAGUUAGUUAGGUUCUAUAUUGGUAUAUAAUCAGAUCAUUGACAAAAUAAAAAUAAAAUUUUUAUAAUAAUAUAACAAGAAAAAAACCCACACUAUGGCAUUACUCGAAUUAAUUAUUGUCGUACGUCCAUAAUAUAUAUAUAUAUAUAUAUAUAUAUAUAUAUUGCUAAUAGUUUUUCAACAUAUUGCUAAUACGUAGUAUGGACUCAAAUAAACUUCUGUUGGCCAUGAAAAAAUGAAGAGAUGUAAUUAACCAUUGCUAAUAGGUGGCCUAUAGUUUCCACAACGGCUAGAGUCGAAGUAGCAUACUUUUGCGCGAAAGUGAAUUUAAAAUCCGAGCUCUACUACUACUAAGAUGGGUCGAUGUUAUGUACACAUGCCAUAAUUUUCAAAUAUGUGACAAUAGUAUUUUCAAUAAUAUGCGGUAGGGCCUCUAUUCAUUCGUACACCACCAUAGUAUUCCUACAUUGAUUAUAAAUUCGUACUUUAUGAUGAACAAAAUGUAUAGAAUUCAUAUGAAGGUACAACUUUUCACUUAAAACUACUGAAUACAAGUUUCAUUGAUGAAUUACACAUCCAAAAUAUGGGUUACUUACGAUCAACUUUAAUCACUUAUAUACUGAGAUACCAUUUCCUAGAUUGACAACACUAGCAUCGGGUGUUUAUUAUUGUUUUCUAUGACCCUUUUAAAAAAUGUUAUGAUUCUCGUUAAAGCAAAUUAACUUUGUUUUACUGUAAAAGGGAAAGUUGCCUCAACCAUGAUCUGUUUUAUAUAAUAUAUUGUUCUAUCAUCAAAGAUCUAUCAUCCAUUCCUUUAGUUUGUUAACAAGAUCUAUAUUUCCAUUGUUGUGUAUGAAUCGAUAUAUAAUAUUCCUUAGCAAUCAUAUCGUUUAAAUAUUAAAACUGAAAGACAUUCUUCCUCACAAAGUUGUGGACCAGGGUACCCAAAUUCAUGAAUAUACAGGGGGUUUUAUUUCCAAAUAAUCUAAUAGUUAAGUUUACUUAAUUAGUAUAUGACAUGAGAGAGCUUGAUGCCGACAAAUUCUUAAUGAUCACUUUGGAUUUAUUAUUAAAGAAAUAAUAGGUGAAGAUGUAAUUAUUUCUUAGAAAGGAGUCAAGGAGUAAGGACAACCAAAAAGCAGCAUAUAUAUACAGUUAUAAUAUCUUGGGCCCUAAUAUCUUUUGUUUUAAUGCCGAAAGAUUAUAUUCCCUCUGUUCUUAAAUAUAUGGUGUUUAGAAUAGUUUUUAUGUUCCAAUAUGUAGAAUGUUCUCAUAUUUUAGGUACCUUUAAAUUUAUCAAAAACUGUGUAACCAAUCAAAUUUUAAUAGUUUUAUUUUGUAAUUGGUUGAUUAGUUUAAAUUAAAAAAUUUAAUAAUACUUUUUAGAUAAAAAGUAACUUUCUUAAUAAGUGUGUUUUACCUACAAAAAUUUAUAUUUAGGAACAGAUGGAAUAUAUAAAUGGAGUAUAUAAUGAGGUGAUUACUGGUGUGGAAAGAGAGAUGCGCAAUCAAUUCUUAAUAUUGCAGAGAUACAUUUAAAAAAAACGAGAAAUGAAAGCAGGGAACGUAUAGAGAGAGUGAUGCAAUCAUGGACAGUGUAUAGUAACUGUAAGAGAAGAUGAUAGAAGAGAGUUCCUAAUGAGGGAAACAUGCUGAACAGAAGAAUCUCAGUUUUACCCACUCAGUCUUUGUUUUAAGCCCGACAAAUAAAACAUUUUUUAAGAAGAUCAAUUAAUAGAAGAAUUUUUUUGUUCACCAUAGAAGAAAUAUAAUUCAAUGUAUUAUAAUUCCUAAGAACCAAUGAAAUUAUACUAUUAUAUUAUAGAUUUAUAGUAAAAAGAAAAAUAUUAAUGAAAGUCUGAAUCUCAGAGUGAUCAGACCUGAUGACUUACUUUUCACGUAGGUAGACGUUCGAUCCAUGCAAUGUACACAUAUAUACGUAUAUUCAUAUGUGCAGACAAAGUGUUUCGUAAAAUCCACCAUUAUUGCUCUCUAACAGUUUUUCUAUUUAUUUAGAUUGUUUUCUAGUACAGAAAAAAAAGAAUUUAGGUAUAUGAAGUUAAAUAAUUUCAUUUUCCUUUUCCUUGUAACCAAGAAACAAUUUGCAAAACAUAUCAGAUUAUAUAAGAUGUUGCAGCAAUCUACUGGCCUAAUGGAUUAAGUUAUAAAAGUAUUAAAUAUAACUUUUAAAAUCAUACAUCAUUUUUAAAAUUGCACAACAAUAACCAAAUAAUAGUUUUAUGUUGGUAUUAUAUUUGAAGGUGAUCUUCAAAAUGAGGGUUUGAGGAUGAGUUGCUCAAAAAAAAAAAAGAGAGGAUGAGUUGCUUCAGCAAAGAACCUCAAAUAUAUCUUUAAAUUGUUCACUAUAUUACAUUUUAAUCCUCAGUCUUCAUGAUAAUUAAUUAUAAGCAUUAAACUUUUAUAAAUAAAUAAUAAUACACAAUAAAAAUGCUAAACAUAAUAUUUAUAACUCAUAUAUAGAUACUUUGGUUUCACCAAUUUUCUUUUUAAAAAGAUUUUUUAAAACUGCAUCAAUUAGAGAGAAAAAAGUUACAAAAUGGUUAACUACAUAUGUAGGCUAUACAUAUGUAUAAUAUUUCUUUUUAGAUAAUUUAGUUUAAUUUUAACAUAUUUAUGUAUCAAUAAUAAAGAAUGACAAAAAUGAAAAGUAAAUAAUGUUUUGAAUCCGUGAAUAGUGAAAUUUCAAAUUGAAGUUUUAUUAUUCAUGCGCUCAAAAUUUGAUGGUUUUAAAAUUUUUUGGAAAGUUAAAAACCUCAGAAUUUAAAGAAUUAAAGGCCUGUCGUAGAUGUUCUUAUUCUUUAUAUACAACACAAUCAUCUAACAAACCGAUGAGAACGUAGUUUUUGGUUAAAAAAUGGAAAUAAAACUCUACUGGCUUAUAUAGUUGAUGUUUGAUAAGAGGAGAACAUUGAUGGAUGUCGAUAAGAAUGUGGGGUUACAGCCACCAGCUGGAAUUUGAUUUAUUAGGCUUUCUCUUGAUUUGGCGUAUACCUUUUCCUUUUAUAACUCUUUUUCUAACAAAGAAAAGGUAAUAUAGUGCGAAGGCCCAUGUUGAUGGUAGGUUUGAAACGACGGAUGCAUGCAUUAGGGAACCCUGAAAGUAUAUAUCAUUCACACAAAACUCAGACUGGUACCCAACUUAAGUGAUAUUUUCGCAUUGAGCGAGUACAUAAUUUCUGGAAUGCUAUUGUUAAUUAUACCAACCGAUGUAGUCUACAAAUAUAUAUGUGCUGGAAAUGAUGAUUUAUAUGCUUAGAGGUUUUACAUUCUGUUUAUCUGCAUUUGUAAAAUUUCGAAUUUGUACAUUCUUAGCAAAAAAAAUAUAUUUUAUCUUUGUUUUUUUUAAAGAUGACUUUGUUUGGUUACAAUUCUUUCUAAAUGGUAAAAAAAUAAAACGUAAUGAAAAUCUAGAUUGCAUCAAGAGCGACACAACUGAUAAUUUGCUAAAAGAAGAGAAGUUAACAAAUAAAAUAAUGUUUAGAAACAACGACUUCUUCGACAAAGAGAGUUCAAUCUAAAUUUUUGGUUCUCUUUCAGUUUCGAUUAUAAAUCGGAUUUUGGUAUUUUGAUAUGUUGAUUUACAGUCUGUUUCACCAUUGUAUUUAUUUUUAAACGUACAUGUGGAUGACAAAAAAAUCGUACAAGUGAUUUGAGCGUAAAGUUCUCCUUCUUCCAAGUAAUCUUCUAAUGUAUAAGAAACAAACAAACAAAGCAUGGUAUGCCAUUAACAUCGACCUCAAUUAUUAGGUGAAGAUCUAUGUGACAAGAAAACCGAUCCCACAGGAAAAAGAUUGUGCUAUUUUCAAAAGGUAAAACGUUAAUAGUAUGUAUUUGAUUAUUUAUAAAAGCAUACCUCUCUUUUUCGUUAUCUUUUCGAAACAUUUUCCUUUUAUAGAUCUUGCCAAGAUUUGUCAAUAAAAUAUACACUACUGUAUCAAAAUAUUAUUAUAAAAGCACUACUCGUUGAGGAUUUUUAACUAGCUUUUUUUAUAAUUCCAACUUUCUCUAUUAUAACAUUUGAUGAUUAGUGAUAAAAAUAAUGAUAGAAAGAAGCAGCAUAUGUAACAAUACGGUAUUUUUUUUUUGUGUGCACACAAUACGGCAAUCUACAAAUUAAGUGUUUGUUCUUUUCGUUUUAUUGGGCCUUAUGAAUCCUACAAAACAAUGUAAUUUCGUGCCCCCUAAGUAUAUAUUACUCUCGAACACUGACGAUUUUGACUUGCAUUUUACAUCUGUUUGAGUUUUACAAUUACAGCUACCAAGUUCAGAACUCGACCCAACUCGAGUACCCAUCAGGGUCAAAACCCGACCCGAGAGAUUUGAUAACUUCACCGGCCCUAUGAAUUUCUCAGUUUUGAUAAGGAAUUAAACAAACCUUAAUACUCUUAGCAAAACUUUUAGAUACAUCCAUUUAAAAAUACACAUGGUUAGUUGUCAUUACUUGUGACGGAAGCUACCCGAAUAUAAAUAACCUAUCACCCCAAUGUCUUGUGAUAGUUCUUCAACCAAAUCCUCAAAAAUCUCAAACUCGAUAUCCAACACCACCUCUGCGACUUCAGAGUCGUUUUUUGAUCUCCAUGUACCCAAACUCUCUAUUCUGAAAUCAUGUUCGACCAUCAUAUCGAUAGUGUUUGACUCCACAUCUCUCCAAGAUCUCAAUCUCUCGCACACACUUUUGGCUACUUGGGCUUCACCGCCUUGCAUAAAGCUGUCCUUAUGUAAUUCCUCUGCUACAAGGUCUGAGAUCAAUGCUUCUAUGCCUUCGGGAACUUCUCUCAUAUCUUCAAAGUACGUUUUAACAACUCUCUGAGUUAUAAUCUCACACUGAUAACGAUUUUUCACUUCUUCUUCUUCCUCGUUCUCUUGGUCUGACAUUCUUUUCUCGAGUUCCAAGGGAUCCAAACCCGCGAGUUGCUCAAAUCUACAAAGCUUCUGUAAGAGUAGAUGCUUUGCUUCUGCAAAUCGAGAUUCAGACACUAAAACCAUCAGUCUAAAUAUUUUUUUUUCCUUUUAAUCAGUCUAAAUAUUCAAGGGCUUAUAACUGUUUUAUACAUGCAAAAUGCUAACUUAACCUACAAAUUCUUUGCAAAAUAUGAGUAAAUAUCCCUACACAAAUAGACUGUCCAAAAUAUAAUAAGAAAUCUACCUAUUUAACGAUAUGGAAAAUAUACACAAAUAUUAACUUUCCCAGAUGUAAAAAGAAAUCUACCUAUUUAACAAUAUGGAAAUAUAUACACAAUGUUGAUUUUCCAAAAUUUAAAAGAAAAGGUCACACGACUUUAUAACAAAAAAUGUCAAUGAGAAACUCUAAACAAACAUUGUGCAUGCGCUAGCUAACAUGUAAAGUAACUGAAAGAUACAGUAUUAACAAACACUAUUAUUCGUACACUAUAAUUGUUCAGUGCAACAAACAACUAUUCGUUCACGAACAUGCAACUGUUCUGUUUCGAAAACAUAACCUCAGGACAACAUAUCCAACAGUUUUAGAAACCAUGUAAUAAGAAACAAUAAAUGAGUAGGGUAAACUAUAAGAUACGAAAAAUAUCGAAUUAAAUGAAAAGAAACAUGAAAAUUUAAGGCAAAAGAUUGGUUAGAGAAAAAACGUACUUUGUACAGAUCUGAAGCUUGAAGUGAUGUUAUUGUCAUCCAUGUGAAUGUCUUCGUCAUCGUCCUCAAAUGGAGGGUCUAAAACUGAAACUGGACUGCUCUGUUCCUUAUCUUCUUCCUCUUCCUCCUCUACUUCAUAACUCUCUUUCUUCAUCUGUUUAAUUUAUAAUCAAAUCAGAUUAGAAGAUGCUAAUUUGACUGAUUAGUUUUGGAGACAAAAACACGAGAGAGAGAUUUGCAUGUCAGAGACAAAGAUCGUCUUUGUUUUCAACAUCACAAAAGGCUGAGUUGAUUUUCGAAAACACGAAACUUGCUUUUGGCUUCAACUGUUGUUACAUCUUCGAAAAGACCAAACUGAUGAGUUUUCGGGGUAGUUUUGUCAUUUAAUGUAAUUACUCUUACUUUGCCGCUAAUUCAAAUGGGUCAAAAAAGAGUCAAACUACUCAUUAAUUAAAGAGUCAUUCUUGGGUUCACCAACCAAUAGAAUUUCAUUAUUUCAAAUUUGAUAUCUUUUAAAAAAGGAAACAAAAUAUUCUCAAAUUAUAUUAUGUUUUUAAAAUAAAAAAAGAUAAUAGUUAUCGAAAAAAGAAUUAAAAAAAAAAUAUUUUAAUGUUCUCAACAAAACACUAAACCCUAAAUCCUAAUCCCUAAACCCUAAAUCCUAAACCCUUGGAUAAACCCUUAACUCUUGGGUAAAUCCUAAAUCCUUGGGUAAAUCCGAAACCCUUGGAUAAACCCUAAACCCUUGGAUAAAUCCUAAACUCUAAAUAAAAAACACUAAAACCCUAAACCCUAAACGCUUGAAUGUUUUAGUGUAUAGUAAUUUUGAUUUAGAGUUUUGGAUUUAUCCUAGAGUUUAGGAUUUAUCCAAGGGUUUAGGGUUUAGGAUUAAGGGUUUAGGGAUUAGAAUUUAGGGUUUAGGGUUUAAUGUUAUGCUGACGACGUAAAAUAUUUUUUUUGUAAUUAUUACUAUUUUUUUUUUACUUUUAAAUUUUAAAAACAUAAUAUAAUUUGACAAUAUUUUGUUUCCUUUUUUAAAAGAUAUCGAAUAUAAAAUAAAACAAUCCUAUUGGUUGGUGAACCUAGAGGUUCACCAUAGGGGGUGGACCUAAGAAUAAGUCUUAAUUAAACCUUUAUAAGCUUUUUAUUAUUAUUUCAGGUUCAAAUAAAAACACAUUUCCAUCAAUGAUUAGUUAAUUAUUUAUGUAUGUACAUCAAUUAUUUUCAGUCAUUUUUCUAACUAACGAAUACGAUUAAUAAUUUAAUCAUAUUUAAUUGUUUGAUAGAGAAAGAGACAAACCUCUUGACAAUCGUGGCGUGGAGAAGCCGCAGGCGAUGAGAAAUUCGGCGUUCUGAAACCGCUGGUGGAAGGCAUUGUUUGUAGAACAAAAUGAAACGGGCUUUCACAAAAACGUUUAUCCUCUGAGAAAUCUCCACCGUUCAUUAGCUCACUCGCAAACUCAUCUAAACCGUCAGAUCCGCUUCUCGAGCUAAUAGACGUUUCAAAAUCGCAGUCAUAAGAUCUCUCUUCGUUGAUAACACUCUCUGACCAAACACCACUACUACUAGACCUCCGUGAUAACUGCGGCUCAGACGCGGGGUUCUGCGUUUCGCGUUUGGACUUUCUCGUGACUAUUUUACGAACAAGAGGAGAUUCCCAACUUACCAUAUUUUUCACCGAAGAAACUCGGUCACCGUCAUUACCACCGCUGAUCUCGCGUUUCUUACGGUGCGUUAGCUUCUUCAACACUGAUCCAAAUAUACCAAACGCGUUUCCUGCGUUACGUGUUCUUGUUUUUGACCCCUCUGACGAUGAAUGUUUCUGUAUCCUAACCGCAGCUUCUAGCAGCAUCGACGCGGUUCUCGCCGGUAUGUUGACGAACAUUGCGUUUUGUCUCUGGUUCGGCGACUUGGGUUCGAAGAGUGGAGACUUAUUGGGGUCAGGCGAUUCACGUAGGGAGAAGAAACAAGCGUUGCGACAGAAACGCGAAGGAAGUCCAGCGUUUUGAGAGAUGGCUCUUCGUUUCUUGACCUGUAAAUGCGUUGCUGGAGGAUUGAUUUGGCAACGUCGGUCGGAGAUGUAACUCUGAAGUUGAAAUGGUUCUUGGUCUUCUUCAAGAAGAUCCUUUAAGUGUCUCUGAGACGCCAUUCUAUCAAGUAUUCAGACAACAACAAAGUAAGAAGAAGACAAGACAAAUGUUUCAAGUCUUUCAGUUUGUAACUAAAGAGAAAGUGUUGUGUUUGAACUCUGCUAGAGAUAGAGAGAUUGUGAUGGUGAUUCGAAAAAUUCAGAUGGUUAAGAAGAUCGAGGCAAAGGGCAAAGUAAAUACUAUUGUAGGUAGGAGCUAGGAAGACACAAAACAAAAUUUUUAAAAAUUAAUUUUAUUUUUGUCUAGGUUUUUUGUUUGUUGUGUAAUGGGUGAUUUAAGAGCACACCAACAAAAAUAAAAGUAUUUUAAAAUUCAUAAGGCAACCUCAAUGUUAUACCAGCCAUGAACACAAAAAUAUUUAUUUAAUGGAAUUGGUCCCCUUUGUAUUUAAUUGCUCUUUGUUAUUUAUUAUUUUCAUCCCCGCAAUUAUUUCACUUCUAGUUAUUUUUUAUUUAUAUUACGAUGAGUGAUUUCUUUUGUUUCAUCUCUCUGUGUUUUAUGUAUAAAUAGAUACAAAACAAAAAAGAAAUCUAGGGAGCGUUUGUUUCGAUAAUAGCAUGGAAUAGUUGUUUUCAUUUUUCACAUUUGCGUGAAACUCUUCUCUUUUUUCCUCCAAAGGCAAAAGCGUUGACGAUCACAAAGAGGAAAGAGUCACAAAAUAUAUUUUAAAAAUUAGGGCUAACUAAAAGAAAUAGUGAAAGAGAUUAAUACAAACGACAAAAGAUAACACGCAUGCCCAGUUUAUUAUAGGAACUGGAUAUUGACUGCAUCUGCUUCUUUGACGACCCUUUACUUCUCACCUUCAUGUUAAAAUUAAUUUAGUCUCUGUCUGAAACUUCACACGAAUAAAAUUAAAUUACACUGAAUAGUGUUUUUAAGUUCGAAAACUCUACGCUGAUAGUUUAAGCUUCGAUGCGUAAAAUAUGUUUCUGUUGGCAAAUAAAUAACAAAAAACUACAACUAUAACUUAAUUAUAGUAUGAAGUUUAAAAACAAUAAAAAAUCUGUGAAGCAUAUUGAGUUUCAAACUAUGUGGAUGAUAUCCUAAUUUUUGGACUGAAAACAGUUUGAUAUUUUUUUGUAAGUACAAAUUUAUGUAACUAUCCGUUUAGCGUUACGUAUAAAUUAAUGAAUUUUAAGUAGAGAAUGAACUAAUUUAAUAUGUUGAUAGACUCUUUGUGUAACUUGUUGAUUAUAAAAAAACUACAUAUGUACACAACAAACACAUGAAGUUUUCUGAAGGGGAAUUCAAAUUUACAAUUCGAAAUGCAACUGAAAUAAAAAAGGUAUACAAUGCUCCUCGUGCAUAGAGAUUUGCCAGUAAGAAGGACGCGGUACGACAUUUUAUUUCUGUCAUCUGAUUGGUUACUACAUAUACACAUCAACUUUAAUUUAAAAAUAAAUAACCUUUUGUAACUUUUGUUUUGUUUUUUGAAAAGAAGUAAUUAUGAUUGUGUUUCUGAGACUUGUAAUUUUUAUAAAGUUGAUUACAGUUAUUUCCUUAUAUAGUUCCCAGAUGUAUAUGUUAGGUCAGAGCAAGGCGUGCCCUCCUUUCUUUUCCUUCAAUCACUUUCUGCUUCCAGUGGUGGGGUGGGCUUCUCUGAUAAAGUCGAGUUUCUCCAACCUAAAGUUUUAUAGGUUACACGAAAAAUAGUAUAAACUGCAUGGAUCAAUGUUUUUGUUGCAUAUGCAUCGAAACAUUGAGUUAAUUAUUUAGUUAAAAGUUAUUUAUAGGAAUAAGAUUUUACUGUAUGGAGCCAUUGCGUGUGCGUAAUAUGGUCCAGCUUUUCAUAAUGGUCUUUAAGAUUCGCAUAAAUAAACAUAAAACUGUGGUAAUAAACACGUUUAAUUACCCAAGAAAAUCUGAGAUAAGCGAACUCCCAUUCCACAGAAAAAUGAAAGUAUUUCUACAAGUUGAGAGAAUCCUAGGCAUGAAAUUAGAUGUGUCAUAAUAUUAUAAAGAACCCAACAACCAGUUCUAGAGUAAGUAGUUGAAGGUUUGUCUCUGGCUCUGUAUUAGAGUUUAAUUACUAUUAUCAUUGUAUUUAAUUUAUUCUAAUAUCAUUCUUGAUUAGUUUGUAACACAUUCGAGUUUCAAAUCAAAGAUAAUUUUACAUACAACUAUACAAGAUAUAUAAGUGAUUUGUUACAAACAAAAUCGAUAUUAAGAAGAUCACAGAAUAAACUCGUUGACAAGUUAAUAAUAACCAUUUUCCUGUAAGUACCAUUUUCCUAUACUUGGUGUUUUCUUUUUGUAAACUACUCUCACCAUUUUUUAAUAUAAGUCGUUUUGGAAUUGUGCACAUAGAUUAAAAAGAUCUUUAAUUUUUUAUAUUUUCUAAACAAAAACAUUAUUAAUUAUUUACCUAAUCACAAAUCAACCAAUAAUAAAAUAAAAAUUAUAUUAUCAUUAUAUAACGUUAAAUGUUAAUAAAUUUUACAUAAAAAACCGAAAACGUCAUAUAAUUUGAAACAUAAAAUUUUCUCUAAAACAACUUAUAUUAAAAACGGAGCGAAUAUAAAUUAAUGAAGUCAUUAUUUUAAAAAGACAAAUUAAUAAAAGAAAUACAGAAAAGAGAUGUACACACUGUGGCUUAGUUAUUUCAUUACACUUAAUUAAGAUACAAUGAUUAAAAGCAUAUUGUGGAUAAUGAUGGAAACUAAUUAUACUUGUUCUCAAAAAAGAUUCCGAAUGUUUCACAGCCACCCUAAAAGUUAGUUUGUAAUUCUUUUUCUUAACUACUCCAAAUUAAUUUUAAUUAGAAAAACUAUUCCAAAGUAACAUUCAUAGAGAUCACAAAAUGGUUUUACUUUACACGUGUUUAGUUUUUAUAUUUAUGCUAAAUUAUAUUCUUUUGUUUUUAAUGUAACAUUAUUUAGAGUUUGGAUUGAGGUUUAAGUUGUAACACAUUAUUACCGCAAAUAAUUCCCUACUGUCUUAAAAUAUUGAAAUAUAUAGUAUUUAGUUUCUAACAUGAUUACUAAUUUGAAUUUUAACAUAUGAUUACGUACGUACCAUAAUUAAGAUCUCUAUUGAGAUUAAUAUUAAAAUGAUACAAACAUUUUCAUCUUUUGUAAUUGUGGACGGGAACAGAAAUGGUCAAAUUAUAUUGCGAAUAUGAAUGCAUGGAAUAAGUACAUUACAAACCAUAUAUUAUACUAAUACGGGACUUAGUUAUUUAGUGUCUUGGUGUCACCAUAUGAGUUCCGCCUCCUUCGUGGAUGGAGUUAAAAAUCUGACAAUUUAUCCAUUUUGAUCUGCACGAAAACAAUACAAUUUUAUUGAUAUUCAGAAUAUGUAACAAUCGCAAUCUCAAGUAAUCUAGCGAGUGAACUGUAAGAUAGGGUCCAUGACAGUGAGUUGGGAGUGUUGAUGAAAUGUUAACGUCACUUUCUUUCUGUAACACAAACGAAAAAGAUUAAAAGGUUUUAUACGCUAGUGACUUUAUUGGCGUGAUGAUCAACUUUUAGAUUGGGUCACGAUCAUAAACUUUUUCUAUAAUAUAAAUGAUAAUCAAACAUGAAAUGAUUAGUGAGUAUAUGGGAACAACUAUAUAGUAUCCCUAUUCCCUGUAUAUAUACCAAAAUAUAUAGAAUCGUAUGUUAAAUUACGUUUACAUAAGAUAUACAGAAAAUUCCUAACUUAUAAAAAUCCUAAUUAUUGUGCUUAACUGGCAUAGACAACGACAUUUCUAUGAUUGGAACACUUCAAUAGGAAGUAAGUACUAGUGUUUUAAACAGGUAUAAUUAAUCUACACAUAAAUCGUUGAAAGCUAUAUAUAUGUCCACAGAGCUAAGAAUUUGAAAAGAGAUAUUCAAAAUUUUCCUAAUAGAAAGGUUAAAAGCAAAGCAUAAUCGAUAUUACUUAUUAUUUUUAGUUUUUACUCGACCCUAUUAAUCAAGCAAUUGGUAGUCAAGUCAGAUAGUAAAGUACAACAAUAUCACAAAGGACAAUAAUGGAUAUAGCUGAUAGAUCUUUUAUUUAUCUUAAGAACUAAAUAAUUCGUUUCGAUAUUAAUCAUCUUUGUAUCUAGGUAAACCUUGGUGGCGCUUCUAGUGGUUGGUGUGUGUUUGGUAAGUAGUUUUUCAAUAUUCUUUUGUUUUCACAUAUCAAGACAAACUUACGACAUACUUAUUUUUAUACUAGUCAUUUUCAUGGGAAAAUCCAUUUUGUUCAUUUUUUACAGCUGUAUUAGCCAAUUACUUUAAAUCAUUUUUAACUUUUUAGUUAGUUAAUUUAAGUACAAGUUAGUCAUAUAGAAAGCCUACUUAUAAGACACGAGGAGACAAUAACAUCGAUUCAUGAAUAUUAAUAAAAUCAAAACGGGGCCCAUGUUUCUUUUCAUUUUCACUCAUGGUUACUUUGCAACGCCACAUAAAGAAAGACCGAGCUUCGAGGGCGUCCACGAAAAACCAAACGUGCCAAAUACAGUCGGCGUUCUGUCCAGCCGCUCGUUAUGGACGUCCACAAGUCGUGGCCAGCCGUGGCAGUUUUUCCUCAUUGGAUUCUUUUUCGCAUUUUGUCUCUUUUUUGUUUAUUUAUUUGGGAUUCUCGUCUCUAUCCUCCCAAAUAAUUUUGUUUGUUUUUUCUCAAUCCAAUAAUUAUAUAUUGUGUAGUAUUUUGUUUAGAUCAAGUGGAUAUUUGAUCCAUAAGACAAUACCUAUAUAUAGAAUAUGGAAAUAAAUCUGAGAAUUAUCUAUUAUACUGUAUAUGGCAAAACUAAUUUUGAAACCAAAUGAUAAAAACUAACGUUUGAUAAAAUUUACUUUUGAAAAGGUUUAAAAUUUUUUUUUUACCUUUUUUAUUUGCGAACUUAGAUUUUUUGUUGUUAGAUUUUACAGACAGUAUUUCACAUGUUUAUUAGUCAGUUAAUGAUGUGAAGCCGCCGAAUAUUGAACACAACAUUUGCAUGCACGUUUUUCGUUUAAUAUCUACCUUCUUAUUUUCUUUGAUAACUGAUCUUAAUAAGAGUGUGUAAAAAUUAUUUUCUCUGAGAAGGUUCCGAGCAAGAAAACACUAAUCUUUUAUUAUUUUAAUUUAAGAAAAUUAGGAAACAGACAAGAAAUUUAUAUCAGCAUGUAUAACCAACCCAUAUAUGUUGGAUAUACGUGUAUAUACGUAGAUGUCUUGUAUCUUUCACAUUGUGAGUAUACGGCUAUUCAUGUGAACCGAUCGAUGAGAUAUUGAAGAGAUAUGGGCAUAGGGGAUUCAGCCAAUUGUCUUGAUCGUGGGAUACGAUUGAGAAAUAGGAAUCCGUGUUAUCAAAAGAUUUCCUGCGAUUCUUUCUAGUAUGGAAUGAGUCAAUCAUCCACUUUGGUAUCUUAUUGAACAAAAAUGGUGAUAUUGUUCCUCCAUUGAUCAAGAAUUUCGAUUUUUGAGAAGUAUUAUGAUCAUCCAAUAAAAAGGGUUUCAAUUUUUUAAAAUGAACGAUUUGAAGACCUAUUGAUUCUAACAACUGAUUGCAGGGUUGAUCGUUCGGACCUUUCAAUUCAUAGAUGUGGAUCUCAGACCUAUGAAUGGGGAUAUUCUCGAAACUCACAAAGAAAAAAGGAAGUGAAUUAGACAAAAAGAGAAGUAACUUGGACAAAAAACGAAGUAACUUGGACAAAAAGAAACGAAGUGACUUAGACAAAUCUUUUUUAUCAAUAACCUCAGACCAAUCAAUCGAAUAUUGAUUAAUACAUAAUCGAUCGAACACUACUUGAAAACGGCUCUUCCGCUCAGAAACGAAAUGUUUCAAAUGCUCCUGGAAAUUCUUGCUCCCAUUGGACCAUUUGUAUCUAUAUGCAUUAGGAUCCCGAUUUAUGGAUCUCUCGGUUCGAGAAAGAAAAAUAAGAGGAUCGAACCAUUUCUUCUGACUCUUUUUCAAAUUCGAUAAAUGUUGGUUGAUCGUAUCUUUCAUUAUAGUUCUAUGAUUCAGAGUAUCAUUUCCUAUUAGAUCCCUUUGAAUUCCAUAUUCGAAGUUGCGAUCAGGUCUCUUCAUUAAAAAGAAUCGAUUCAAUACAUUUCUUAUGUACCCAUAGGGACUAUAUUGGAAUUGGAUUUGAAUCAGAUUUCGGAUCAAUCUAUAUUGAUUGACUGCCUCCAUUAUGUUGUUGCUAGCAAAUACCACUCUUUUUGGUUUUGGAUCUUCAAAAAAAUUCCCGCAGGAGAUCCGGACCCAAUUUUUUCUGAUCCUUCGAUAAAAAGAUUCAUUUUCUUCAUAAAAAAUAGGAGGUAGAACCAAUAAAGAUUUCUUUUUCAAUUCAUCCCUGGAGUUGAAAACCUCCUUCAAGAAUUGUCUUUGAUCCAAUCCGUAGGAAUCAAUAGAAAAGGCAAAUCCCGUAUGAUACACCAGAUCCGGCUCGGUUAUUGAUAGAGUGAAUAGAUCUGCCAUUUCUUGAAAUCUCUCUUCUGACUCAAAAUCGUGGCGUAACGUGUAUCCCCCCCUCUUCCGUUCAUGGAAUAGAUGAAAUAAAUAAAAAAAUGGAUUUUUGUUCAAGAAUGAAAUCUUAUUGGAACUGUCCAUAUCCAGUUCAUCCUUCGGAACCGUAUCACAUCCCAGAUCUGAUGAAAUAGGAUGAAUUGAGACGGUAUUUUGUAA